rnacentral:rRNA from 1 species
GACGAACGCUGGCGGCGUGCUUAACACAUGCAAGUCGAACGGAAAGGCCCUGCUUUUGUGGGGUGCUCGAGUGGCGAACGGGUGCGUAACACGUGAGUAACCUGCCCUUGACUUUGGGAUAACUUCAGGAAACUGGGGCUACUACCGGAUAGGAGCUCCUGCUGCAUGGUGGGGGUUGGAAAGUUUCGGCGGUUGGGGAUGGACUCGCGGCCUAUCAGUUUGUUGGUGGGGUAGUGGCUUACCAAGGCUUUGACGGGUAGCCGGCCUGAGAGGGUGACCGGCCACAUUGGGACUGAGAUACGGCCCAGACUCCUACGGGAGGCAGCAGUGGGGAAUAUUGCACAAUGGGCGGAAGCCUGAUGCAGCAACGCCGUGUGCGGGAUGACGGCCUUCGGGUUGUAAACCGCUUUCGCCUGUGACGAAGCGUGAGUGACGGUAAUGGGUAAAGAAGCACCGGCUAACUACGUG